GAUGAACGCUAGCUACAGGCUUAACACAUGCAAGUCGAGGGGAAACGAUGAGAGAGCUUGCUCUCUUAGUCGUCGACCGGCGCACGGGUGAGUAACGCGUAUCCAACCUGCCUCUGACCAAGGGAUAACCCGUCGAAAGUCGGACUAAUACCUUAUGCAGUCGUCGGAAGUCAUCUGAUGACGACGAAAGAUUUCAUCGGUGAGAGAUGGGGAUGCGUCUGAUUAGCUUGUUGGCAGGGUAACGGCCCACCAAGGCGACGAUCAGUAGGGGUUCUGAGAGGAAGGUCCCCCACAUUGGAACUGAGACACGGUCCAAACUCCUACGGGAGGCAGCAGUGAGGAAUAUUGGUCAAUGGGCGUAAGCCUGAACCAGCCAAGUAGCGUGCAGGAUGACGGCCCUAUGGGUUGUAAACUGCUUUUAUGCGGGGAUAAAGUGAGGGACGUGUCCUUCAUUGCAGGUACCGCAUGAAUAAGGACCGGCUAAUUCCGUG
rnacentral:rRNA from 1 species